CGUAACAAGGUAGCCGUAGGUGAACCUUCGGCUGGAUCAUUCUCGAUUCUAUAACCUUUUAUUGUUUCUUUGAAACAGUCAAAUAGAUUGAAAUAUCUAUUUUCUUAGCAUUAACCAUAACGGCUGGGUAGAGGUUUCUAUGUGCUAGUGGAGUUGAUGUGUGGUCGUGUCAACAAUGAUGCUAGUCGGCUGCUGUUGUUUUAAGCGACGGCGUAGGAUUAAAAAGCCCGAGAGGCUGCCUUUACAAACCCUUAUUUUAUUCUUAUUUUUAUUGUAACUGUUUAAGUUACUCCGGUGAAUCACUUGGCUCGCGGGUCGAUGAAAAACGCAGUGAAUUGCGAUAAUAAGUACGAAUUACAGAUAUUAUGAGUACCAUGUUUUUGAAUGCGUAUUGCGUUCUCGAGCUUUGCUCUUGAACUUAUCCGAUUCAGGGUGUGUUGUAAAACUUUAGUAGUAUCAGGUCUUGUUUUCUCGAUAUUACUUUAGUGUAUUGUUCUCGAGUUGACUUUGUGUUGGCUUUAGACAAGUUAUGCAAUCUAUUUUGAUUGUUACUUUGCGGCGUAUGUUGGCUUUCGAGUUGACUAAACCAUAGGAAUACGAUGUAACUAAGAAUCGUUAUAACGCUAUGUCUUGUUUUUGGUGUUGAUUCUUAGUUUUAUGUUGUUGAGCAUCGCGAAAGCGUUGCACUUGUGGGCGUCGUAAAAGUUUUUGAAUGUAACCACCUGAGUUGGGUAUGAUUACCUGCUGAACUUAAGCAUAUCAGUAAGCAGUGGAAAAGAAACAAACAUGGAUUCUCUAGUAACUGCGAGUGAAA
rnacentral:rRNA from 1 species